UACGUAGGGUGCAAGCGUUAAUCGGAAUUACUGGGCGUAAAGCGUGCGCAGGCGGUGAUGUAAGACAGAUGUGAAAUCCCCGGGCUCAACCUGGGAACUGCAUUUGUGACUGCAUCGCUGGAGUGCGGAAGAGGGGGAUGGAAUUCCGCGUGUCGCAGUGAAAUGCGUAGAUAUGCGGAGGAACACCGAUGGCGAAGGCAAUCCCCUGGGCCUGCACUGACGCUCAUGCACGAAAGCGUGGGGAGCAAACAGG
rnacentral:rRNA from 1 species